GGGUGUCGAGGCCUCAAUUCCGUAGUGCAUUGCAGUGCAUCCUGCCUCCUGCAAGCAGUGCGGAAGUGAGGCUGAGACACCC
rnacentral:pre_miRNA from 1 species